UACAAGGAGGACAAAAAAUCACUCAUCAGACAAUCGCUUACGAUAUGGCCACCAGGUUUAGUAUCAUUAAAAUGGAGUAUCAAGUAAAAGCAACUGAUCCACUGAAGCAUCAAGAAGCCACUUUCAACAUAGGCAACUUCCAUGCUUUGUUAAUUUCUUAUUUCUUAUUUUUGAUUCGUAGUAAAUUCGAUAAAAUGGAGUAUCUAGACCACAGCUACAUUUUAUUAAAAAAUGGCUCAAGAGAAGCUGGCGAAUGUAGGUUAUUUACAGAAAACUACACUUCGUUGUGGGGCAAAAAUAUUUUAGGAAAAUAAUCCUCCUCUACCAUUAUAAACCGGUGCUCUUUGGCAACAUAAACUUCAUUCUUUAUACUCAAGGGAUUGGAAGGCUAGUCUAAGCCUGAUCUUUAUUCUAACUUUUUUCCUUCUCUUCGUAUCUAUUUCCCUUAACGCCUCAGUUUGCAACAAAAAGCCAUUGAAUGUGAUGGUUCAUUAGUAGACGCAGCAAUCAAGAUUGAAACUAUGCUAUCCUUGUGCCCUGUUCCUGAUAGAACUAAAACAACUUUAGAAACAAGAAACCAACAGUGGAAAAGAAACCAACAGUGGGAUCCCAAAGCCACUCCACUUUGAGGAAGCACAGGCUACCUACUAAAGUUACAUACUUCUAGAAAAAAAUAGCUUUCGAUUGAAGAUAAUCCACUUCCUUGAAAAAGGAAAUUGAACCACCAUCCAGAUUUGCCAACUCCCACCCCCACCCCCCGAAGAAGAGAAAGAGGGAGAGAAAUAAAAAGAUAUUCAUAAAUAUAGCAACUUAAAAUGAUUACAAAAGAGGAUGAAGCAUAAAGAUAGGUUUCUUCUUAGUUAUUAAUACAAUUCAAAGGCCAUUAGCUUUUCAUUUGUUGUUCCCUUUUUAUAAAUGACAAAUAGACCUACAAUGACCACAAUUAAGCAAUUUGGUUCUGCUAACAAAAACAAAAA